GUUUGCAUACUUGGCCUUACGAAGCAUCUUCAAAAGAAAGGUGGGGCUUGCAAACA
rnacentral:tRNA from 1 species